UACGUAGGGUGCAAGCGUUAAUCGGAAUUACUGGGCGUAAAGCGUGCGCAGGCGGUUAUGUAAGACAGGUGUGAAAUCCCAGGGCUUAACCUUGGAACUGCAUUUGUGACUGCAUAGCUAGAGUACGGUAGAGGGGGAUGGAAUUCCGCGUGUAGCAGUGAAAUGCGUAGAUAUGUGGAGGAACACCGAUGGCGAAGGCAGCCCCCUGGGUCAAGACUGACGCUCAUGCACGAAAGCGUGGGGAGCAAACAGG
rnacentral:rRNA from 1 species